AGUUGGUUUCGUCAUUGUUAUUCACUUGUGUGAUGCGCAUAUACGUGUGAGUAAUUGCAGAAAACAGCGACUAAACUAGUCUAUCCGUAGUCCAGCAAUUGUAACCGGUGUAAAGGGACAAAUCCCGGUGCGCUGCAGCAUCAGUGGCCGCUUGAAAUAAAUUUAUUUAUCGGCCGUCGCUCUGGCACUGACAUCAUCGUCCAAAAACAUCUAAAUAACAACACAAGGCAGGAGGAUGUUGCUGAUCCACCUAUUGAUGUUCAAGAGGAAUUAGCUGUCCUCAACCAACUCCGUGAUCUUAGCAGAGCCUGCUCCUAUCUUUUGGGAUUGACAUGUGCCUUGGACCUGUGAUACCCCAAGAAUUUUAAAGGGUUAGUUCAUCCAAAAAUGAAUAUUAGCAAAUGAUUUACUC